rnacentral:lncRNA from 12 species
CCAAAAGGUCAAUGGAAAAUGAUAAUGAAGAAAAAAAAAUGAAGUGUACUUUUCUAACAUGCUUCCUGUUCUUUUAUCCCUGGCAAUAAUGUCCAGGAGUUGAAUAUGUUAAAAUACAAAUUUCAUCUUCACUUAUCGGUUCCCUGUGUUUAAGCAGUAGCCGGCUGUGAAAAUUUUCAGGGACAUAGUUACCAUGUCUGACUCUGUACAAGGGCUUAAAAUAUUCUUGCCUGUUACUGGCUGUGCAUACACAUGCAUGCACACGGGUGUAGAUAAUUUUCUUGCUGUCUGAAAAUGAACGAAAUGGGACGGCAAUGAAGAGUUUUCUGUUUUUCACGUCCUCAUUUAGAGAGGGCUGUUAUAGUGACCAUGUUAUGGUGACCAUAACCAUAUAAACACAAUAUCUCCUUAUCUGUGAUUCAUUUGAAGCAACCCCCUAGUUGAGUUUUAAGUCUCUUUUCCUUCAAUACUUAACCCCAGGGGCAUAAAUUGUGGGCUGUAUCUGACCAACAGAGCACUAAAUUGUUCAAGGGAAAUACGGCAUUCCCUUCAAGCCAUCAUACUGGCAGCCACUGAGGCUGUUCCCUUUGCAUCUAGCUUCUGAGAGCUAAUGUCUUCAAACUGUGAUUGCUAGCUGUUAUCAUGCUCACAUUAUGAAUCACUUUAUGACAUCAUGUGUGAAAGUAGAAUUAUUUUCUUUCCACUGUUCUAAUAAGGCUGGCUCUAGACCUUUGAUGAAAAUAUAGUUAACUUGGAAACAACUCCUAAUUAUUUUAAAGUGAGACUUACAGUCUUGGUCUCACAAUGCAUUAUUCAAAACAAAUGGACCAAAUAGAGCCUACUUUUACUGCAGAGAUGACAAAGGGGACAUGUCCUAACAUGUGACUUAUGACCUAUACCCACUUCUCUUCCUUUCCUCUGAGAAUGUUAUAUAAAGAAAUAAAGAACAUAAUGAAAAAAUUAAAGAAGAUUCUGGGAGCAAGAAGGAUGCUUAUUAAUUCAGUCAUGAAAAUAACUUCUGGAAUAGACAAGAAACACAUAAAAACAGAAAUGAAUGAUUACUAAGAGAAAAAAAUGAAUAUACAACAAAGAGGUAAAAUAUAUAAUCACAAUAAUCUAUUUUAAAAAUCUUAAUAAUUAUAGGUCUAACAUAAUAAUGCCUACUGAAUACUUAUCAUACAUAGACCCUACGUGGUUUACACAUAUGUAAACAUUUCAUCCUAACAGCAUCCUGAUGAUGGGGAUUCUACUCUUAUUCUAUUUGGGUUAUAUCUAGCCUCUUGCAAAUUAUGCUGGUGUUUCAUUAUAUUCUCUGGGGGUUUUACUGCGUAAUGCAUGGAGUUCUGACUUCUAAAUGCCACACUUUGCUUCUCUUUGUCCAGUGGCUUUUUGUUAGCUGGAGCUAGGUCUGCCUUCUUGCACAGCAGAAUGAAAGUACAGGAGAAUUAACACAACCUGUCAGUAGCACCCUUCACUACUGUUUCCUUGGAUAAUGUUCCAAGUACCCUAAUUGCUCUCAAAUCCUUAUUUCAGGGUUGGCUUCUGGAAGAACCCAAAUGAAGACACAUCUGUACAUUCACUUGUACUUCCAUAUACACUUAGAUAUAAAGCUGCCUUAAAUUGGGGGAAAAAUAAAAUAGAUAGAUAGAUAGAUGAUAGAUAGAUA